GUCAACGUCGCGAUGCGGAACUCCCCACAGCAACCAGCGAAAAACGGCCGUCCGUAAUGUAGCCAAAAUGGCAGUUUAUGAAGGGGAUUCCUGUGCAACGAUUAGUAACGUACCAAGAACCGGGAACGGUUUGCGUAGAGCUUUUGGAAGAGACACCGCGAGGUGACGGCAUGGGUUUGACCGACUGUUAUCAGACGUGAGCGAUGAGGCUGCUAAGCGCGGGAAAACGAGGAUAAGUGAGCGGCC